rnacentral:rRNA from 1 species
GACGAACGCUGGCGGCGUGCCUAACACAUGCAAGUCGAGCGAAUGAAGUUCCUUCGGGAAUGGAUUUAGCGGCGGACGGGUGAGUAACACGUGGGCAACCUGCCUCAUAGAGGGGAAUAGCCUCCCGAAAGGGAGAUUAAUACCGCAUAAGAUUGUAGUACCGCAUGAUACAGCAAUUAAAGGAGCAAUCCGCUAUGAGAUGGGACCGCGGCGCAUUAGCUCGUUGGUGAGGUAAUGGCUCACCAAGGCGACGAUGCGUAGCCGCCAAGGGAGGGUGAUCGGCGACAUUGGGACUGAGACACGGCCCAGACUCCUACGGGAGGCAGCAGUGGGGAAUAUUGCACAAUGGGGGAAACCCUGAUGCAGCAACGCCGCGUGAGUGAUGACGGCCGUCGGGUUGUAAAGCUCUGGCUUCAGGGACGAUAAUGACGGUACCUGAGGAGGAAGCCACGGCUAACUACGUG